rnacentral:siRNA from 1 species
GGAGAUGUCGAUGAUUGUGUC